AGUAGAAUUGCUAGGUCAUAUGGUAACUCUAUGUUUAACCUUUUGAGGAACUGUCAAACUGUUUUUCAAAGUUGCUACACCAUUUUACAUUCCCUCCAGCAAU
rnacentral:pre_miRNA from 1 species